GGAUGGAUGGCCAAGCUGUCUAAGGCACGGUAUUCUGAUCACAGUCUCUUCUGGAGGCGUGGGUUCGAAUCCCACUCCUGACA
rnacentral:tRNA from 1 species